UCUCAGCUCACUGCAACCUCCACCUCCUGGACUUAAGCGAUUAUCCUGCCUCAGCCUCCUGAGUAGCUGCAACUACAGGCACCAAUCACCACACCUGGCUGAUUUUUGUGGUUUUAUUUGUUUUGUUUUGUUUUGUUUUGUUUUGUUUUGUUUUGUUUUGUUUUGUUUUAGUAGAGACAGGUUUUCACCAUGUUGACCAGGCUGGUCUCGAACUCCUGACUUUGUGAUCUGCCCACCUUGGCCUCCCCAAGCGCUGGGAUUACAGACAUGAGCCACCAUGCCCAGCCACAAAGACAUUUCAAAAUGCCUCCUGUAAGCAAGGCCUAGGCAUAAAAGUUACAUCACCUGAGUGUUAAACCCAGCAAUAUGUCACAAUGCCCCAAGUGGGCAAAUCACAGGCAGAAGAGUCACAAAUUAUCAGUGCAGGGCCCAGCAAUAUGUCACAAUGUUCCCUGAAGGCAAACCUAAAAGAAGAAUCACAUAAGCUAGGUGUUGGGUGUAGCAAUAUGCUACAGUUUCCCUGUAAGCAAGGACCAACAGAAGAAGAGAGUCACAUCAUCUGGAUGCUGGGCCCAGUAAUAUGUCAAUCAUCUUUCCUGUAAUAAAGACCCAGGCAGGAGAAAUAUAUCAUCUGGUUGCUGACCACAGCAAUAUGCCACAACUUUCUGUGUAGGCAGGGUGUAGGCAGAAAAGGAGAGUCACAUCACCUGGAUGCUGGGCCCAGUAAUAUGUCAACCAUCUUUCCUGUCUUUAUUAAGACCCAGGCAGGAGAAACACAUCAUCUGGUUGCUGACCACAGCAAUAUGCCACAGCUUUCCAUGUAGGCAGGGUGCAAGCAGAAGAUGAGAGUCACAUCUCCUAGGUGAGGAAUGCAGAGACAUGUCACAAUGUCCCCUAUAGGAAGGGCACAGGUAGGAGACUCUCAUCCCUUAGGUGUUGAGUUCAGCAAUAUGUCACAA
rnacentral:lncRNA from 1 species